GUGCAUGUAUCCUUUUCAAAAAAAGUUUUGUUCGGAUAUAUGCCCAAGACUUGGAUUGCUGGGUCAUAUGGUAGUUCUCUAUUUAGUUUUCUGAGGUACAUCCAUACUGUUUUACAGUGGUUGCACCAAUUUACAUUCCUACCAACAGUGUAGGAAGGUACCCUUUUCUCCACACCCUCUCCAGCAUUUGCCAUUGGUUGAGCUGUUAAUGAUGGUCAUUCUGGCCACUGUGGGGUGGUACCUCAUAGUAGAUUUGAUUUGUAAUUCUCUAAUAAUCAGUGAUGUUAAGCAUUUUUUCAUGAGCUUGCUGGCCAUCUGUAUAUCUUCUUUGGAGAAAUGUCUCUUCAGGUCUUUUGCCCAUUUUUAAUUUAGGUUGUUGGCUUUUUAUUUUAUUAUUAUUAUUAUUUUUUGCUGUUGAGUUGUAUAACUUGUUUGUAUAGUUUAGAGAUUAAGGCCUUAUCAAUUCCAUUGUUUGAAACUAUUUUCUCCAAUUCCUUACAUUGUCUUUUUCUCUUUUUUAUUGUUUCCUUUGCUGUGCAAAAGCUUGUGCUUUGAUUAGGUCCCAUUUGUUUAUUUUUGCUUUUAUUUGUAUUGCUUCGGGAGACUGACCUGAGAAAAUAUUUGUAAGGUCGAUAUCAGAGAAUGUUUUGCCUAUGUUCUCUUCUAGGAGUUUUAGGGUGUCUUGUCUUACAUUUAAGUCUUUAAGUCUUUUGAGUAUGUUUUUGUGCAUGGUAUGAGGGUAUGUUUCAAUUUCAUUGAUUUAUAUGAGGCUGUCCAGUUUUCCCAGCAUCACCAGCUGAAAAGACUUUUUCCUAUUUUAUAUUCUUGCCUCCUUUGUUGAAGAUUAAUUAACCAUCGGUGCCUUGGUUUAUUCCUGUGUUCACUAUUCUGUUCUGUUGGUCUGUAUGUUUGUUUUGGUACCAGAACCACAUUGUAAUUUAUUACUGUAGCUUUGUAACAUUGCCUGAAGUCUGGGAGAGUUGUGCCUCCUGCUUGGUUUUUGUUCCUCAGGAUUGCUUUGGGAAUUAUGGAUCUUUUGUGGUUCCAUAUAAAUUUUAGGAUUGCUUGUUCUAGUUGUGUGAAAAAUGUCCUGGGUAAUUUGAUAGGGAUUGCAUUGCAUCCGUUGAUUGCUUUGGAUAGUAUGGCCAUCUUUAUGAUAUUAAUUCUUCCAACCCAGGAGUGUGGAAUAUUUUUCCAUUUCUUUGAAUCCUUCUUAAUUUCAUUGAUGAAUUUUUAUAGUUCUUAACAUAUGUCUUUCACCUCCUUGGUCAGGUUUAUUCCCAGGUAUUUAAUUUUUGGGGUGUGAUUUUAAAAGGUGUUUUAUUUCUAUAUUCCUUUUCUAAUAUUUCAUUGUUAGUAUACAGGAAUUCAACUAAUUUCUGAAUGUUAAUCUUUUACCCUGCUACUUUGCUCAAUUUGUUGAUCAGUUCAAGUAGUUUUGGGGUUGAGUCCUUAGGGUUUUCUAUAUAUAGUAUCAUGUCAUCUGCAUAGAGUGACAGUUUUACCUCUUCUCUUCCAAUUUGGAUACUUUUUAUUUCUUUUGUUUGUCUGAUUGCUGUGGCUAGGACUUCCGAUUCUAUGUUGAAUAAAAGGGUGGUGAGAGUGGGCAUCCCUGUCUCGUUCCAGAUUUGAGUGAGAAGGCUUUCAGCUUUUCUCCAUUGAGUAUAUAUUUGCUGUGGGUUUGUCAUAAAUGGCUUUGAUUAUGUUAAGGAAUGUUCCCUCUAUACCCACUUUGGUAAGAGUUUUUAUCAUAAAUGUAUGUUGGACUUUGUAAAAUGCUUUUUCUGCAUCUAUUGAGAUGAUCAUGUGGUUUUUGACUUGUGUUAAUGUGGUGUAUGACAUUGAUUGAUUUGGGUAUGUUGAAUUAUCCUUGUGAACCUGGGAUGAAUCCCACGUGGUCAUGGUGUAGGAUCUUUUUUAUAUGUUGUUGGAUUCGGUUGGCUAAAUUUUUGUUGACAAUUGUUGGGUCUAUAUUUAUCAAAGAUAUUGGCCUAUAGUUUUAUUUUUAGUGUUAUCUUUGUCUGGUUUUGGUAUUAGGGUUAUGGUGGCGUCAUAGAAUGUCUUUGGGAGUGUUCCUUCUUCUUCAACCUUUUGAAAAAUUUUAAGGAGAAUGGAUAUCAGUUCCUCUUUGUAUGUUUGGUAGAAUUCUCCUGUGAAGCCAUCUGGUCCUGGACUUUUAUUUGUAGGGAGUAUUUUUAUGACAUAUUCCAUUUCAUUUCUAGUGAUCAGUCUGUUCAGUUGAUCUGUUUCUUCUUGAUUCAGUUUUGGAAGGCUGUAAAUCUCUAGAAAUUUGUCCAUUUCUUCUGGGUUGUCAAAUUUGUUGGCAUAUAAUU
rnacentral:lncRNA from 1 species